GCGAAAAGAACCCCGGCGAGGGGAGUGAAAAAGAACCUGAAACCGUGUACGUACAAGCAGUGGGAGCCCCACCACCAAAGCAUUCUCUGGUGUUGAAGGCCCUGCAAAGCAGCAUCGCGGUGGCGGAGCGUCGUUUGCGACGCCCAACACACAAAACAAGCGGUGAGUGCUUUGGGGUGGGGUGACUGCGUACCUUUUGUAUAAUGGGUCAGCGACUUAUAUUCUGUAGCAAGGUUAACCGAAUAGGG
rnacentral:rRNA from 1 species